rnacentral:rRNA from 1 species
AAAUACUCCUGACUGACCGAUAGUGAACCAGUACCGUGAGGGAAAGGCGAAAAGAACCCCGGCGAGGGGAGUGAAAAAGAACCUGAAACCGUGUACGUACAAGCAGUGGGAGCCCCACCACUAAGCCAGUGGUGAACUCCACAUCCGCAUCCUUUGCUGAGGAUACGGUUAACGGAGCGAAAGCGACGUUCAACCGCAAAACAAGCAGAGGGGGCUUAGUGGUGGGGUGACUGCGUACCUUUUGUAUAAUGGGUCAGCGACUUAUAUUCUGUAGCAAGGUUAACCGAAUAGGGGAGCCGGAGGGAAACCGAGUCUUAAUUGGGCGUUAAGUUGCAGGGUAUAGACCCGAAACCCGGUGAUCUAGCCAUGGGCAGGUUGAAGGUUGGGUAACACUAACUGGAGGACCGAACCGACUAAUGUUGAAAAAUUAGCGGAUGACCUGUAGCUGGGGGUGAAAGGCCAAUCAAACCGGGAGAUAGCUGGUUCUCCCCGAAAGCUAUUUAGGUAGCGCCUCGUGAAUUCAUCUCCGGGGGUAGAGCACUGUUUCGGCUAGGGGGCCAUCCCGGCUUACCAACCCGAUGCAAACUGCGAAUACCGGAGAAUGUUAUCACGGGAGACACACGGCGGGUGCUAACGUCCGUCGUGAAGAGGGAAACAACCCAGACCGCCAGCUAAGGUCCCAAAGUCAUGGUUAAGUGGGAAACGAUGUGGGAAGGCCCAGACAGCCAGGAUGUUGGCUUAGAAGCAGCCAUCAUUUAAAGAAAGCGUAAUAGCUCACUGGUCGAGUCGGCCUGCGCGGAAGAUGUAACGGGGCUAAACCAU